UCGUGGAGUUGUGAUAACCAAACGA
rnacentral:snRNA from 1 species